rnacentral:lncRNA from 1 species
UUCCAAACCAGGAGUGUUUUACCUUCAUCAUUAACCUUAUUCCUACUUAAAAAGUUUAAAGAUAACACACUAUAUAUUUGGAAAGAUUUCGUUUUGUAUGACAAAUAUUUCGCAAUGUUGAGACACUAAGUAAAGAUCUGAGAGUACUCAUAUACUGGUGUGAUAUCUCACGUCAGCACUUUUAUUGACAUUAAAAUAAUGAACUCGGGC